GUCCACUACAUAUUGAAUUUAUCGAUCGAUUGUUACGCCUAUUUCGAUCGCUACUGUACAGUCAAUGGCGGCAUGGCGGCGAUGUACAUUGGAACUUGGAAGUGGAUGCAUGUGCAGCUUGAUGUGUCGUUGCAUAUGGGAGGCCCGUUGGUAAUGCAGUAGUAUGUACUUCAACAAUCUGUUAUGUCCAACCAUGGAAUGAGUCGCAUGCGACUAAGUCAACCAAACAGGGCAACAACAAUUAGUCAGCAAUGGAAUUAGUCAGUGGAAAACAACACAUUCAUUCCCGAGGAUGGCUUAUAGUUUAUCUAUGCUUAUUCAUGAUUGAAAUUUGCCAUGUUUUCAGACCAACUGGAAAAAUUCCUUUUUUUCACAGAACUUUACCAUUUUCAUGGUAUAUUUAAUUGCUUGUGGUGGAUUGUCACUUGGCAUCAUUUGAAUGGUGUGGUCCAUAUCAGCAUUGUUAUGAUGCACUUCUUAAAUACACCAAUCCCUCAGAAAAUAUUCUAAUUGAAAUUAUGGAAAUUUCUGCCCUUCAUGUAGCACUGCACAAUGAUGGGUUUGUAUAAACAAGCUUGAAAUAACAAA